GCUGGCAGCCAUAUCACCCUGCAGCUCACAACUGGCAGCCCACUGAAGCUAUGCAGGUGUGAGCCUGGUCAGUACCUGGAUAGGUGACCUCCUGGGAAAAACUAAGGUUGCUGCUGGAA
rnacentral:rRNA from 1 species